GACGAACGCUGGCGGCGUGCCUAAUACAUGCAAGUAGAAGCUAGUGGCGAACGGGUGAGUAAUGUAUCGGAACGUGCCUAGUAGCGGGGGCUAACUACGCGAAAGCGUAGCUAAUACCGCAUACUAUUCGAUCUGCCGAUAUAGGAUUAGCUCGGUGGUGGGGUAACGGCUCACCCAGGCGACGAUCCGUAGCUGGUUUGAGCUGGCGACCAGCCAAACUGGGACGGAGACACGGCCCCGACUCCUACGUGAGGCAGCAGUGGGGAAUUUUGGCAAAUGUGGGAAACCCUGAUCCAGCCAUCCCGCGUGUGCUAUGAAGGCCUUCGGGUUGUAAAGCACUUUUGGCAGGAAAGCGGUACCUGCAGAAUAAGCACCGGCUAACUACGUGCCAGCAGCCGCGGUAAUAC
rnacentral:rRNA from 1 species